AUGAAUUUUGUUAAAGGAAGCAUCCAACAUUCUUGAAAAUCCAGCAAAAGGGAGAUAUCAACGGUCUCUUCCAAUUCGCUUCAUUAUAGCAUAGUUAAUCAACGUACAAAGUCUGCUGCCUUCAUCAUACAUCAUUUCCAUGCCAUCUCUAGCUUCAGACCCAUGAUCCAUGUGGCUAACAAUUUCAGAAAUUUCAGCAGAAAACAGAUUGCAACUAGUUAGGUAAGCAGAAGAAAUCUUCAAAAGUACAACACUUACGUUUUAAUCCACUUGAUGCGAACACCUCCAGCAUGCGAGCUAUCUGACCAAAAGGGCAGUUCGGUGCUAUUUAGGUCGCUGACUACCUGAGCAUAUCCUAAAGCAUUGUACGUUUGCUGAGCCACAAAAAUAAAAUAAACACUGG